GAUCCAAACAAGAAUACAAGCAUACAAGCCAAUACAGUGACCACAAGUGUUAAAGUCCUCACAUUGACCAAAUUUGAGCCAGACAGUAAAAACUGCUACGACCACGAUGAUCUCUGCAAUGACCUCAUUAAGACGUUUCAGUGCUCUACAGACCUUUUCCUACCUAGGUUGUGUCCAGCGGCUUGUGGGCUGUGUAAUGUGUCAUCGAACAGUACAGUG